rnacentral:misc_RNA from 1 species
UGUCCGCCCACAGCUGCUGAU